rnacentral:rRNA from 1 species
GUGCCAGCAGCCGCGGUAAUACAGAGGGUGCAAGCGUUGUUCGGAAUUAUUGGGCGUAAAGCGCGUGUAGGCGGCUCCGCAAGUUGGGUGUGAAAGCCCUCGGCUUAACCGAGGAAGUGCGCCCAAAACUACGAAGCUUGAAUAUCGGAGAGGAUGGUGGAAUUCCCGGUGUAGAGGUGAAAUUCGUAGAUAUCGGGAGGAACACCAGUGGCGAAGGCGACCAUCUGGCCGAAUAUUGACGCUGAGACGCGAAAGCGUGGGGAGCAAACAGGAUUAGAUACCCUAGUAGUCC